UGGUAGUAGAACUGGGACUAGAACGAGA
rnacentral:piRNA from 2 species